CCUCUCCUGACCUCUCGUCUCUCUCUCACGACCUGGGCGGUUGUGUAGCCACCGUCGAACACCACCAUCCAUGGAACGCCGCCUCCUCUUUGCCUAACCGCCACCAUCCUCUUUCUCACGUUUACCCUCAAGAUGCAACAGGGAGGGCUCCACUCCCAGAUCGAUCACGGCGCUACACCACUGAGAUCUGAACCAAAUUUAUUCCUACAUCAUGUGUGGAUUCCUUGGUUGCGCCACCGCCAGAUCCAGUCUUGCUAGAUCACCCGGGCGGAGGCAGGGUGAGCACCUCCUGGCAACCCUAAGCCAAGCUAGAUUCUUGUGAAUCCACGAUGCAAGGAGUCCCCCCAAGCGGCUCAGAGGGGCUGGCGUGGAGAUAGUCGGGAAGGAUGCGUUGCCAUGGUGACCACAACGAGGUUUCAGUGCAUCCACGGACGCUCGGCAACUUCGCAUGGGGCUAACUCCAAGCUGGGUUCAUCGGCUCCACUGUGUUUGUCCGCCACCAACACACUCAUUCUUGCCUAGGUCGUUCCUCUCCUUGGUGUGUAACGGACUGUGGUUCAGGUUGAAUACUCAGCAAGCUUAGCCCAUCAUUGACGCCUUCUGGGUUGAUUUAAAAUUGGGAUAAUAGGUUUCUUGAUUGUUAUCAUGGUAACCUUUUUUUUCUGUGAGGUGAGGAUUUCACAUUGGUUCUGAUCAACGAUUGAGAGUAAGCUUAAUUAUGUUCCAUCUGAAAAAAGAUAGGUAUAAUUUUAAAUUUCCGUAAUGUUUUUUACAUUGUGAUGAUGACGUUAAUUGUUGCUACUCUACUUCGCAUACAUCAAUUUAAUUUCAUAUUCAUGGCUUUGUAACGUGUUGAGAGGGAGUAUAACAUCAUGGCCGAUGCUAUAUAUUGUAGUACUAAUUCCAGUCGAGCCAUGAUUAUAUUUUUGGAGGAUGUUGAACUCAACGGGUCAUAUUCUUAAUGAUUAUUUCGGAUCCUCUAUUUGCCGAGGGCCCAUCGGUCAUGAAAUCAACUACGGGUGAUUUUAAUCUAUAUGCAUCCUCACGUCUGGGGAAAAAUGAGAAUGGAAACCUUCACCAUGGAGGAUUUCCCAGAGAAUAUAAGGGGUGUUAAUUACAAGGCUCUAGGAGAACUGUUCAGGGUGUGUGAGCACAAAAAAACACAGAAGACAACUGUGAAAUCAACAUGAAAGGUAUAUUUCCUUUCUUAAUUAUUAAUCUUGAGUUUAUAUUCAGAGUAAUACCUUGUUCCAUUCAAAGGUUGGAUAAAAAGCAGGGGACAAAAUAGGUGCUUGAUUUUACUGAAUCUGCAAUUUAUUUUUAUUUUUGAGUUGUGAAGCUCCAGUACAAUAAAACGUGUGUGGAAGAAAAUGAAAGCUGAGGUGUCAUUUCAUUCAUGUUUGCUUUGUAAUACUCCUAUUUAGCAGAGCAAUUGGCUCAAGUAUAAGCACAAAAACACAGGAUGUGCCACAACAGAACUUAUUAACUAUGUGGUGCCACAACAAAACAGUUAUCCAUCAACAAACAAAAGAUCGAUAAGGCUUGACCAACUUCACACUAUUCCCCUGCGUGUCAGCUAACUUUUAGUUUAAUUACUAAGAUAUUUAUGUGUUAGUUCAGGCAAAUUUACAAGCAUGUUUCAAAUCUUCAUAUAUUUAUAGAAAUUCCUAUCUUUUUAUAGCAAAUAUAGAAGGGCGCGGCAACGCGCGCCAGCAUGGUCUCUAGUUGAGAACAGUAAAACUGCAUCUAAUCCCUGCCCUCUCAGUAAUUAGGCAUUUCUGGCCGUUGGAUUUCAUUAACUUGGCAUUCUUCACCGUUGGAUCUUCAGUUAGCUGUACCUUAAUCGCGAAGUGGGCUAAAUGUCGCAAGGGCAGGGAAGUACCUCUUCGUGAUUCAGGGCAACCUCUACCUGGUUGCCUAAUUCUCCAUCUUGCCUUUUUCAUGACUAAUUUCUACAUUUCCUGACGGCCAGGCAGUCGAAGCCCUAGCACGCACUCCAGCAGCACGGCGCAGGCCUCCUGCACCACCUGCAUGGCGCAAUGCUUUGAGCUUCUCUUAGCGGCUUGGAGGUGAAGCCAAGGUGGAAGGGAAGGUUUUACUGUAAUGCUCGAUCUUACAUCUUGUAUCGACAGUGGUGGCCAGCAGUGGGAAGCUUACUGAAAUCAACUUAUAUGGUCCGAUCCCCUCUCUACUUCUUUAAACAAUGUUCAAAGCAUACAAAGUAUGCUUAAUUAUUCGUUUCGCAGAAAUAAGGUCUGGAAUAUUUUCCUGCAAAAUAAAGGUCAGUAACAUAAAUAUUUGGAUGGUGAAGCUUUCACUGGUGCUCCGUGCACUGAUCGUCCGACAAGCGGGGCAACGGCAGCCACGGCGCGCGGUGGCUGGCUUUGCUCAAGCAAACUAUCUUCCCAAUUAAGUUUUUGUGCCCCGUGUUUCUUGAAGCUAUCCAGAAUUUGAUUUCUUUGACAGUGUACAUGUCAUGUGUUUGAUGCAAUGCACAAGAGGAACCAUUGUGCUCAACGGUCUUUAUUCUCUAUGUGCGAAGAGCCGAGGAUUACAUCAUGGACUCAGUACAAUGUGUUGGCUCAAGAGCUACCGGAGUUGUCCGCUUCUUAAUAUUUGGACAGUUGAAUUCAGGAAUAUAUGAGACAUGCAUUUGAAUUAAGAGAUGGAGAAUCUGAUUAUACCUUGCAAAAGGUGCUCCGGCAUCCUCCUUCUGCUGCGAUGAUGCAUAUUGCAUUAUGAUUUCAUAAUAUUCCUUUUACACCGAUCUCCUGAAGUUAAACAUGAAUGCAGACAUGAAGAAUUAUUAUGGAAGUACUACAAAAGCAAGCAUUUUUAGGUGGUUUAGAAACUUCUGUCAGAAAUUUCCUAUGUGGUGUUCAAGUUAUAAAGUAAAAUCAAUACCUUUUGGUGGAUCACCUUUUUUCACUAUUCAUGUUAUUAGCCUA